UGCACAUGGUUUAGGUGCCCUCCUUCCUCCCUUUGGUAGGCGAGAGCCAGCACAGCACGCCCCAGGACUAGGGGUAGCCUGUGGCAGCAGUAGCCGGCCGAGGGUCAGGGUGGAGGCAGAGGUACGCUAGAGGAGCCGGCCGCGCCGAGCGACGGCAGCGCGAAGAGGAGCGCCGCGAGCGGCGCCGGCGCCCGCGGGGGCGGCGGCGCCGGUCGUCUCUGCCCAUGCCCGCGCGCUCCUCCGACGCGUACUCCCCGUUCCAGCAGCUCUACAAAAUAGUACGAAUACUGUUGAUGUACCGCAUACGUAAAGGAGUACUGCUUAACUUCGGAGAAUGAUUUCCGAAGUGACUGAGGGAGUCACUCGAACCGUUGGAUUUAGAACUCGUGAACGGUGUCCUAAUAUUACCUAGUCGUAACAGUGAUCAACUCAGUAAUAGUUCAGAACAACAGAAUCCAUUGGAUUGUCUUAAACUGUCUCCUCAAUCAACCGAAAGUCUCUUGGAUUGAAAACUACAACUACGAGCUCAAUUAGAAAAACUCACAUUGUAUUCUGAAGAACCCCCCGAAUAAAGACGAGUAUAAGAGCGUUUCCUGAUGUCGUCAGUCUUAUUUCUACCUCAUAUAGUCUUGGUUAACGAUGUAGAACGACUUUUAAAUCCGUCGGCCAAAGACGGUCGUAAACUCUGGGGAUGACCUAACGGCAUACGUACCUAGUUAGAAUUCAUACCUCACUACCUCUUACUCUGUUGACUUUGCUCGUGUAGUCCUACACCGAGGGAAUAAGACCUUUACCCACGUAACAGUGCAAACUGACCACUAGGAUAUAUACUUCGACGUCGAGAAGCACGAGAAGCGUUCAAUACCUCGUACUCUUCGAGUGACUUAGAACAUCCGAGUUGUGAUCUACAAAACAGACCGUUGACCUAACUUAUAAGCAGUCCGUAACCACGACCUCAACUAAGUAAAAUGCUCAUAAACUAAUUCCGUAUAUAGGAAAAACCUUCACUACUCAUGACCCUAUACAAAGUGAGACGAAUGGAUCGUCACGUCUUCAUAAAGGCUGUACCCGGUACCAUGGUACUCCGGCUAUAGUCCUGACCUCUUCGUUGUGUGACCGUUGAUUGAUCGGAGGUCCGGAAGACCGGACCACAAGUCUGUGAUGAUCCUCUACAACGACGACGUUUAGACAGUGUAGCACUUAAAAUGUUACAUACCGUUUCCAAGCCGCAGGAAGGACUUUCUAUAGACAAUCUGAUGCCUUAAAACGUAGGAUGUCUCUUCAUGAUAGGAAAUGCAGGUCUCAAACGACUCAGAUGUAAAAUAGAAAUAGUUCGUUGAUUUCUAGGAACCAUGGAUCUUCACCCACUUCGAUAUUAACCUAGUGAAUUAAUGAUGUGGUUUCACCUUCCUCCAAAACGAUCAUAGUCUCUACAAAGUUGUUACUUGGAACUUCUAGUAGUUGUGUCGAAGAAAGAAAGUCUUUGCACGUUUAUAGAAAAAGAGGAAAUGCUGCUAAGUAAGAACUCCUUGUUUUUAAUGUAGAAAUGUUGUCUCCCGGUAGGGGAAGGUCAUUACUCGUGCACCGUGCUCUUUUAAGGAGCUGACCUACAAGGGUGGUUAACCUGUCAAGAAUUCCUGCUGUUGGUUGGCUAAGCACACUCGCGUAACAGUAGGUUUCAGACAGGCCUCUGUUAAAGGCCCGUCUUGCAACCGAGGGGUACCCUCUCACGCACGGUGCAUGGUCUACACAAGGGAUCGGUGUCUACGUCCCGGCUGCUGCUGACACCCUAUCUCAGACAUUGUACGUUCUCCUCUUGGACGUCGUACCGACCGAUGACGCCGAACACCGACCGCCAAAUAAUCGGUUACAACAACCUCUUUAAUAUGAAAACGGUAAGCAAGUGUCUUACUAGUUCUAUUCCAUUUGUGGUAGUACUUUUAUCUUACGAUGGGCGGACGAAGCCGGACUGAAACAUGUAAUCUUAUCGUAGCUGUCGUCUAAGUACUGCAGACUUAACCGGUUUAAUUGGACGCACAGUUUAUGACCAAACUUGAAAGUACGACUACAUAGACGGUAGGUUAUAUACCCACAUGAAAUAACACGCUAUAUACAAUAAUGAUAGACUAGACUAAUAAAAUCGUGUACACACGUACGUUUUUUUUUCUUGUAUGAUUUCUGUAACACAUAAGACCAAUUAAACACACCUGAAUUGUUAUUUCAAGUCAGAAACCAAACAACACUCAAC
rnacentral:rRNA from 1 species